GGGCCCGUAGCUCAGUUGGCUAGAGCGCAUCGCUGGCAGCGAUGAGGUCGUCAGUUCAAGCCUGAUCGGGUCCACCA
rnacentral:tRNA from 1 species